rnacentral:ncRNA from 1 species
UUACAGGCAAUGAAAAAGCCAAGUAGAUUAUUUUAAGGUUAUAGAGAGUGCCGUCUUUGCUGAAAUCGGCAUAACCCGCUGGAAUAAUCGAACCUCCUUUUGAGCCGUUAUGACAACAUAACCGUACCCUUUGCGAUAAAAAGGCUGAAGCUGCACACUUUAUGUGUGAAUAAAGGUGGUACCGCGGAGAUCAAUGCAUUUUCGUCCUUACU